rnacentral:rRNA from 1 species
UACGUAGGGGGCAAGCGUUGUCCGGAUUUAUUGGGCGUAAAGAGCGUGUAGGCGGCUAGAUAGGUCCGUUGUGAAAACUCGAGGCUCAACCUCGAGACGUCGAUGGAAACCAUCUGGCUAGAGUCCGGAAGAGGAGUGUGGAAUUCCUGGUGUAGCGGUGAAAUGCGCAGAUAUCAGGAAGAACACCUAUGGCGAAGGCAGCACUCUGGGACGGUACUGACGCUGAGACGCGAAAGCGUGGGGAGCAAACAGG